rnacentral:rRNA from 1 species
GACAGAGGUCCCGAGCGUUAGGCGGAAUCACUGGGCUUAAAGCGUGUGUAGGCGGGUCGUUAAGUGCCUUGUGAAAUCCCACGGCUCAACCGUGGAACUGCUGGGCAUACUGCGGGUCUUGGGCCAACUAGGGGCAGCCGGAACAAGCGGUGGAGCGGUGAAAUGCGUAGAUAUCGCUUGGAACGCCGAAGGUGAAAACAGGCUGCUGGGGUUGCGCCGACGCUGAGACACGAAAGCCAGGGGAGCAAACGGG